UUGCUCCCUCCACACUUCCAGA
rnacentral:miRNA from 1 species